GCUGUGCCUAGCCCAAAAAUCAAUAAAAUUCAACUAUAAUUAUUAAUUAAAAUAAAACAUUCAACUAAUAUAAGAGUAUAGGUGAUAGAAACUAUAAUAUGGCGCUAUAGAGAAAGUACCGCAAGGGAACGAUGAAAGAAACUACUAAAGCAAUAAAUAGCAAAGUUUACCCCUUGUACCUUUCGCAUAAUGAUUUAACUAGAACAAAUUAGCAAAGAGAACUUAAGUUAACUCCCCCGAAACCAGACGAGCUAUUCACAAGCAGCUUAACAGAGCAAUCCCGUCUAUGUGGCAAAAUAGUGGGAAGACUUAUGAAUAGAGGUGAAAAGCCUAUCGAGCCUGGUGAUAGCUGGUUGUCCAGAAAAAGAAUAUUAGUUCAACUUUAAGCCUACCUAAAACCACUAUAAUUUAAUUGUAGACUUAAAAGAUAGUCUAAAAGGGUACAGCCUUUUAGACAUAGGCUACAACCUUGCCUAGAGAGUAAGUACACUAACAAAUCAUAGUUGGCCUAAAAGCAGCCAUCAAUAAAGAAAGCGUUCAAGCUCAACACACACAACACUAUAAUCUCAACCAUAGACACGAACUCCUAGUAAAAAACUGGACCACUCUAUGCCUGUAUAGAAAAAAUACUGUUAAUAUGAGUAACAAGAACCUAGUUCUCCUAGCACAAAUGUAUAUCAGAACGAAUACUCACUGAUAAUUAACAACUAUAAGACCACUCUCACAACAAGACACUUAUCACUACAUUGUUAAUCCAACACAGGAGUGCUCUAAGGACAGAUUAAAAGAAGUAAAAGGAACUCGGCAAACACAAACCCCGCCUGUUUACCAAAAACAUCACCUCUAGCAUACACAGUAUUGGAGGCACUGCCUGCCCAGUGACAUACGUUCAACGGCCGCGGUAUCCUGACCGUGCAAAGGUAGCAUAAUCACUUGUUCUCUAAAUAAGGACUUGUAUGAACGGCUCCACGAGGGUUUUACUGUCUCUUACUUCCAAUCAGUGAAAUUGACCUCCCCGUGAAGAGGCGGGAAUAUAAUAAUAAGACGAGAAGACCCUAUGGAGCUUUAAUUAAUUAACCUAGUAUAGACAUAAUCUACCAACAGGAAUAAACUACUUUACUAUAGGUUAACAAUUUAGGUUGGGGUGACCUCGGAGUAUAAAACAUCCUCCAAGAAUAUACAAACUUAGACUAACUAGUCAAAGCCACAGCACUAAUUGAUCCAAAAUUUUUUGAUCAACGGAACAAGUUACCCUAGGGAUAACAGCGCAAUCCUAUUCAAGAGUCCCUAUCGACAAUAGGGUUUACGACCUCGAUGUUGGAUCAGGACAUCCUAAUGGUGCAACAGCUAUUAACGGUUCGUUUGUUCAACGAUUAAAGUCCUACGUGAUCUGAGUUCAGACCGGAGUAAUCCAGGUCGGUUUCUAUCUAUUACCCAUGUCCCUCCCAGUACGAAAGGACAAGAGAGACAAGGCCUCCAUUAAUAAAGCGCCUUACAGCCUAACAGAUGAUAUAUUAUUAAUCUAACAAGCUAUAACAACUAGCCCCUAGACACAGGGAU
rnacentral:rRNA from 1 species